GGGUGUAGCUCAGUGGUAGAGCGCAUGCUUAGCAUGCAUGAAGUCCUGCGUUCAAUUCCCAGUACGUCUA
rnacentral:tRNA from 1 species